UGGCGGAAGCGGGGGUACCGCCGGCGCCGCAACGGGCCGAAGGUUGAGACAGUCCCUUGGAACCUGAUCCGGCUGAUACCGGCGUAGGGAAGCUUUCGCAGGACCUUC
rnacentral:ncRNA from 1 species